rnacentral:tRNA from 1 species
GGAGCAGUGCCCGAGUGGUCGAAGGGGUGCGCUUGGAAAGCGUAUGUGCGGGAAACCGUACCGGGGGUUCGAAUCCCUUCUGCUCCG